AUGGACCAUAUCAUGAACAAAAAAAGCCAAGUCUUCUUUCUCGAUGCUCCAGGAGGCACUGGGAAGACAUACUUGUUUAAGGCGUUGCUUGCUAAGGUGUGUUCGAUGGGUGAGAUAGCCAUUGCCACUGCUACAUCAGGUAUAGCAGCCUCGAUAUUACCUGGAGGCAUGUGUUGUUUCACAAAGCAAAGUGGUACAAUAGAAUUGCUGAAAGAGGCGGCCUUGAUAAUUUGGGAUGAAGUUGCCAUGACAAAGCGUCAAGCCGUGGAGGCGCUUGAUAGGUCACUGCAAGACAUAAUGGGAUGUUCUUUGCCGUUUGGGGGGAAGAUUGCCGUUUUUGGUGGAGAUUUUAGGCAGGUCCUUCCAGUGGUUCCAAAAGGGACAAGAGCACAAGCUAACCCUUUGUUCUCCGGGUAUCUCUUAAGGAUUGGCAAUGGAACCGAAGAAACGAUAGGUGAUGACUAUGUGCGUCUCCCUGAGGACAUUGUGAUCGGCCAUACUGAUGAUGAAACCGCAAUCAAUAGGCUAAUCAAAGAAGUUUUCCCCUCUCUUAGUGUCAAUGCUAAAUCGGGAGAGGACAUGAGCUCGCGUGCUAUUCUUUCCACGAAGAAUGACUAUGUUGAUGAGCUGAAUUCCAAGAUGAUUGACAUGUUUCAUGGGCAAGAGAAGGUGAAGGUCAAUUGCCCCGUCAUUCUGCUACGGAACCUUGACCCUCACAAUGGCCUCUGCAAUGGAACAAGGCUAAUGAUUAGAGCCUUCCAAGAUAAUGCAAUUGAUGCAGAGAUUGUUGGUGGGCAACAAGUUGGGAAGAGGGUCUUUAUACCGAGGAUCCCUUUGUCACCAUCGGAGGACAUCUCGCUUUCCUUCAAGCUUAAGAGGAAACAAUUCCCCAUCCGCCUAAGUUUUGCGAUGACCAUUAACAAGGCGCAGGGCCAGACCAUUCCAAAUGUUGGCAUUUAUCUUCCCGAGCCGGUGUUCUCCCAUGGUCAGCUGUAUAUUGCCUUGUCAGGGGUGUAUCAAGGCGGACGAUGCAAAUUUUGGCCAAGCCGAACAAACAGAUUGAUAAAUCAGGAAAAG
rnacentral:rRNA from 1 species